rnacentral:lncRNA from 1 species
GUUGUUUGGACCCUUUCAUUUAUCUCAUUAUUUUUUGGUCUUACCUUAAAUAUAGACUAACAAUAUGUUACCAUAUAUUUCUCUAACAAUAAUUUAUUCAAUUCCUUUAUUUAUUAAAAUUUCACUCCUAAAUCUUAAUCACUACUAUUAUUAUAUUUACCAUUUUGAUUUUGAUUUUUAAUCGUAAAAGCAUUGAAACUAAUAUUUUAUAUUAUCUUUUUUAUCAUAUAAUAUAUGAUUUAAAGCAAGAGAAGUUACACGAUAUAUAUGUGUACAUUCUAACUUUCUCUUUCCUUUAUAAUAAAGUAAUCAUAUCAUAUAUAAAUUUUUUCACUAAAAUCUCA